rnacentral:rRNA from 1 species
UGGGGAAUUUUCCGCAAUGGGCGAAAGCCUGACGGAGCAAUACCGCGUGAGGGAGGAAGGCUUUUGGGUUGUAAACCUCUUUUGUCAGGGAAGAAAAUUUGACGGUACCUGAAGAAAAAGCAUCGGCUAACUCCGUGCCAGCAGCCGCGGUAAUACGGAGGAUGCAAGCGUUAUCCGGAAUAAUUGGGCGUAAAGGGUCCGCAGGUGGCCAUUCAAGUCUGCUGUCAAAGACCGUGGCUCAACCACGGAAAGGCAGUGGAAACUGUUUAGCUAGAGUACGGUAGGGGUAGAGGGAAUUCCCAGUGUAGCGGUGAAAUGCGUAGAUAUUGAGAAGAACACCGGUGGCGAAAGCGCUCUACUAGGCCGAAACUGACACUGAGGGACGAAAGCUAGGGGAGCGAAAGGGAUUAGAUACCCCUGUAGUCA